ACAGAGAAACUUUUUUUCUUAAUAGUUUUGGUCUGAGUGUUCAUUACAAUAUUUUACAACAAAUAAAUUCUUGUUAACACAUUUCGAGCCUCUUUGAUCAACUGACAAUUCCAUUCUUGAAUCAGUAUACAUCAUUGGGGAUAUAAGGGUAAUAUUUCAACGAGAUAUUAUGAGAUUUCUGGCGCUGUAGUAAAUCUGGAAGUAUUUGACUGGAACAUUCAGCCGCACCCUAGUGACAGUCGUUAAGAUGUCAUCAACCGACUCGAAAUACAUUACUGCAGGGAAAAGAAAGAAGUAGCAGUGCGAUAGAUUUGGUGAAUAUCCUAGCUGGGACAACACUGAAAUCUUUUAAGAAGCUAAAAACUGGUUUCGCUAUAUCUUUUUGCACUCUGUUGAUCCCUUUCCCAAGUAUGAUACAGGCUUAGCAGUGAAAUACUCUAUUCACUUUUUUAUCUAGGGAGAACAAACACCUCAUAAAUCACAUGGUGGAUGUCAAGGGAGUAGAUGAGUAUCGUUUUCAUUUUCGACUUGCUUAUGCGAGCUUUUGGAUCACUUGGUGAAAGUCACUGUUGACUCUGGUUCUUUGUUUCGGAAUAGUAGUAAAAGAGUUAAUUUUCACCAAUGAUAAUGCGGUGAAACAGAGUACGAUCAUAUUUAGCUUAUCCUAAGCAGUCUACUGCGAUUUGGUAUUCCAUGUUGUCGUAACUCAUGUCAAGAGUUUUUCGGAACAAUUCUUGCAUUCUUACCGCAAAAUAGUGAGUUAAAAUCUGCCUGAAGAUUACGCUGUUGAAAUCAUUAUGUCCUGAAGUAAAUCACACCUUUAAUAGUAGAUCCUAGUGAAUAGACUGCUUUUCCUACUCCCGCUUCGUCUUUCUGGCUUUUACGUCUCUUCCUGAACAUUUUAAUAUUUCAUUAUAGGUUGCAGACGCCUAAUCUCUCAAUUUUGGCAACGUGUUAUUCUUCAUGAUGAGCACAAAAACACGGAUAAAUAAAACACAUAGUCAGACAGAACUAAAGAUGGCAAGCAGCCAGAAACAAUAUGUAUCAAUGUAGCAGGAUUACCCCAUUAUGUGGUAAAAAUUUCGUUGUUGGGUUAUCACUAAGCCGAAAUUUCUGUAACCAUUAGUGGUAUGGUGUAUCAUAAGCUCACCAUCCAUUUCUAAAUACUGUAACUUGAUUAUAAAUAAGCGCGUCAGAUAGUUCAAUUAUGAUUGUUCUUGUAGUGGUAGCACUGAACAGUAUAUUCGCUACUUAAUUGACAGACUACGUAGGUAUAUGUUAUACAUGAUAUUUGACGAUUGAAUAUUCAAGAAAAAAAUUCCGGCUUUUACUAUUUUCCGCCUGUUAGGUGGUAUCCACGUAAAUAUAUUCCUUGGUCAUAUAUUUUCAUUCAUUUCUUUGAGACCCUUGAACCAUUUAAGCUAUUUUCUUUCCAAAAACCAUCUAUUAAAAAAUCAUUUCAAUAGACUCUAGUAUCUUCAUUUCUGACUUCAUUUCCUGUAUAAUAAAAAUAAAAUAAAAUAAAAGUGCCAUUUUUAUAGCCAAUAAUCCUUAUUUUAUGUCCAAACUUUGAAUUGAUAAUAUAACAAUGUUUCUGUUAAUAAUUUGAGUACUAUUUUUUUAUAUACUUUGCCACACUUUGUGAAACAAAUAAAACCUGAUUACUUUCAUUUGUAUUUCGAAUUUGAAGCACAAUUUCUCACAAACAGAGCCCAAUAAUAUUGGUCUUAAUUAUUCGGAAGUUUCAGCAAAAUCAAAGUUUUACUAUUUACUUGUUACUCCAGUUCUAUCUACAAAUUGUUAAUUUCAUUCGUAAUUUAGUGACAACUUAAUAUCAUUUUUUCAUAUUUUUAUUUGCUACUGCAAUUCCUGUGAACUCUCCUGUUUUUUGAACAGAAGUUGAUAAAAUAGUACAUCACCAGUUUCUUUAGAGUUCUCCUUUCAUUUUAACUUCAGCUUUUGUUGUUAUCAAAGUCAUUAUUUUAUAAAGCACCUCAAAACCAUUUGAAAUGAACGAGUAGUACAACUUUUAUCUAUACAAUCAUUUGCUUACUUGAAACCUAUUAGAUGUUUGUAAGUAUAACUCCUUCUUCCUAAUAAAAUAAUGAAAAUCUGAUUAAUCCCAAAACACCCAAUUGUAACGUGAUACUGGUAAGUCGCCUAUUGUUUCUUCAGAAUAGGAUUGUAAUCUAUCAGCAAUAACCCUAGAGACUACUUCAAAGUGGUGCCCGAUAGUGAAAUUACAAGAUAUUUUUCACAACUCAGUUUGUCUCUCAUCCAUGGUUGAAAUAACAACAUAAGUUUGAAUUUAUGCCCCAAGAAUAUUCAAUUCAGUCUUUGUAUUCAGAAUUUUUCUGUACAAUCGUUUUAAAACUUUUAAUUCACUAUUUGUAUAUAGAUAUUUCAUAAUGCUGAUAAUAGAUAUCUAAUAAUGCAACAUAUGUUGUACUACUGAAAUAUAUCCCAAUGAUAAAAUAUUUUCAUUUUUUCAAGAUAAAAUUUUGUUAAUGCAAUGUCAGGAAUGAUAAGGAACUCUCAUGUUUUUGCGAACAGGAGCGAUAAAAUUAUUUAGUUUCUAAAAAGUUGUUUUUUGAAUAUAUUAAUGAACUUGAACAAUGUCAAUGUUUCUGAUUGUUAUGGUUUAUAAGUAUAUAUAAUGAUAGAAUAAAGAUCAGCUAUACUUUAUAUUGUGUAUUUGAACAUUCUGAUACAAUUUACCAUGUAUUUGUAUGUAUUUUUCUUCUUCUUCGUCGCUGUAGUGAGUAUAAUAAAUUGAACGACUCAUAAAUUCUUGAUAAACUUAUUGUUCUUAUAUGAUAUCAACUAAAGAUUUGAUGUAAUCCUAUAUUAUAUCACUAAAUAAAUUUGCUCCUUAGUUUCAUUGAGAUGAUGAAAUAUCUUAUUCAUCUUUAUAGAAUCUAAAAGAGCUCAUGCGUAUAAGUUAUUAAGUAAUACUAUAACAAAUUUCUAUCAUUAUAAAUAUACAAAUUGUCAUCAUACUUCUCUAUCCAUAUAUAAAAGAAAUCUUCAAAUAAAAAUGUCGUAAGUUGUCUGAUCUCUACAUAUGAAUAUUGAGGAUUAUUUAAAUCAUCUUACAAAGCUAUUAUCAUCAUAACUUCAAGGUCUAUGAGAGAGAUAUUAUUGACAAAUAUUUGUGCAGAAAAUAAUAUGAAUGAAGAGAAAGCUAAGAUACGAAAAAGUUCGAGAUAAUGCAACAGAAGGAUCAAAAAUAAAGUACCGGCUCCUCCAAUUGCAACUGCUAAAGAAAUAGAAAAAAAUAAAAUUCUAGAUCUCGUGAACUUGAUCCAGCUUAGCAAAUGAGUGGAUACAAGACAAUAAUAGAUCUCAAAGAGCUAACAUUGAAUUGAAAAAUAAUGAAUCAAGUAGAGGAUAUGAAUUACUAUUUAUUAUACAAAGAAUACAAGACUACUGAAAAAAAAUCCGAAAACAAAGCUGAGCCCAAUGAGUAGAUUAGUUAAUAUCUUAGUUGGAACUUAUCAGAUUGUGUUCAAAAGAAAAAUUAACAGGAUAUUUAAAAAUAAUGUAUUCAUACCACUAAGAAAAUCGUAACCUAUAGAAUCCAUUAGGUUUGGAUAUAACUGGAAAAUAUCUAAUUCAAUGGUUGAGAUAGGAAAAUAGGACUUAAUUGCGACAUAACAAGUAGUUUUGAGAGAAUAUGGAUUCAUUUACAGUUAUUAAAUUGAGUGUUGUUUGAAACGUCUCCAUGCGACCCAAAAUUAUUUUGGAAAUACUGCAUUUUUUAUAUGAAUAAAGAAAUUGAGAACCUUACACAUUAUGGAGGUUCACUAUUAGGAAAUAUCAGGAUCACUUUGUGAUUACAAAAAACUCCAUAAAAUUGUAUGGGCUACUAGAGCUAGUGAAAUUGCCUCUCAUUGUCUUUUUUAUAAGCAUACAUAUGAUGAAAAUUUAGUCAUAUAUUCCACUUACACAUAAAUAAAUCAAUGCACUUGAUUUCUCAUAAUCUUAAUAUAUACAAGGUUUUCAAUAAAUAACAUUUAAUGUUUCAAGUAGAUCUCAGCUGAAGCCUCACCAACAUUGCCUAGACAUUUCAGUAAAGCGCACGAUAAGUGCCAAUCCGACCCAGCCUCACACGUUGAUGAAGCGAUUUUAGAUCAAGUGAGACGUGGCGAAAAAGUAAGUGCUCCUAAUCUGCCGAAACACACUCUCUGUAUGAAUAUAGAAACUGGAGUUCAAAGCCAAAAUGGAGACAUAAUUGUGGAAAAUCUGAGAAAACUUCUGGAGAGUGCUGGAGCUGAUAAAGAGAAAGUAGACGAAGCUAUAAGCAAAUGUGGUACUAGGUCUUCUGCUAUCGCCGAAGAAGCUGCUGUGGCUUUAACAAACUGUGUCAUAAAAUAUAGACCAGUACGCCAACAUCAUGACUAAACGAUUCUGUACCAUAUUUUUUAUUUGUGAAUAUAUAUUUUGUAACUUA